UACAGAGGGUGCGAGCGUUGUUCGGAAUUACUGGGCGUAAAGCGCGCGCAGGCGGCCCUUUAAGUCCGUCGGUCAAAUCCCGGGGCUCAACCCCGAUGCAUGCCGAGGAUACUGGAGGGCUGGAGACACGUAGAGGCAAGCGGAAUUCCGGGUGUAGCGGUGGAAUGCGUAGAGAUCCGGAAGAACACCGGAGGCGAAGGCAGCUCGCUGGGACGGAACUGACGCUGAGGCGCGAAAGCGUGGGGAGCGAACAGG
rnacentral:rRNA from 1 species